UGAUCUCUUCCUCAGCUCAUCAGCAGGAGACUCAGGAGCUUCAGUCUUUUCAACAGUUUCGUCUCACCAGGCCAAACGAAAUCCUAGCCAAGGUUUCCAGAAGAUGUCCAAUGAAAUCAACCCACAGUCGAGCUUUGUGUUUGGUCAAUCAUCCAAAACAGAGGCUCCAGUGGCUCCUGCUAGCACCGCAGAGCUAAACACCAGCAAAGGUUUCUCCUUCGCAUCAGGG